rnacentral:rRNA from 1 species
CAGCCGCCGCGGUAAUACAGAGGGUGCGAGCGUUAAUCGGAUUUACUGGGCGUAAAGCGUGCGUAGGCGGCUUCUUAAGUCGGAUGUGAAAUCCCUGAGCUUAACUUAGGAAUUGCAUUCGAUACUGGGAAGCUAGAGUAUGGGAGAGGAUGGUAGAAUUCCAGGUGUAGCGGUGAAAUGCGUAGAGAUCUGGAGGAAUACCGAUGGCGAAGGCAGCCAUCUGGCCUAAUACUGACGCUGAGGUACGAAAGCGUGGGGAUCAAACAGGAUUAGAUACCCCAGUAGUCCCUGUCUCUUAUAC